AAUGAACGCUGGCGGCGCGCCUAAUACAUGCAAGUCGAGCGAGAAGACGUAGCAAUACGUUUGUAAAGCGGCGAACGGGUGAGGAAUACAUGGGUAACCUACCCUCGAGUGGGGAAUAACUAGCCGAAAGGUUAGCUAAUACCGCGUACGCUCCUUGGACUUCGGUUCAGGGAGGAAAGCGAUACCGUGGGUAUCGCGCUCUUGGAUGGGCUCAUGUCCUAUCAGCUUGUUGGGAGGUAACGGCUCACCAAGGCUUCGACGGGUAGCUGGUCUGAGAGGACAAUCAGCCACACUGGCACUGCGACACGGGCCAGACUCCUACGGGAGGCAGCAGUAAGGAUAUUGCGCAAUGGGCGAAAGCCUGACGCAGCGACGCCGCGUGGGGGAUGAAGGUCUUCGGAUUGUAAACCCCUUUCGGGAGGGAAGAUGGAACGAGCAAUCGUUCGGACGGUACCUCCAGAAGCAGCCAC
rnacentral:rRNA from 1 species